AGUGAACGCUGGCGGUAGGCCUAACACAUGCAAGUCGAACGGCAGCACAGUAAGAGCUUGCUCUUACGGGUGGCGAGUGGCGGACGAGUGAGGAAUACAUCGGAAUCUACUUUUUCGUGGGGGAUAACGUAGGGAAACUUACGCUAAUACCGCAUACGACCUACGGGUGAAAGCAGGGGAUCUUCGGACCUUGCGCGAUUGAAUGAGCCGAUGUCGGAUUAGCUAGUUGGCGGGGUAAAGGCCCACCAAGGCGACGAUCCGUAGCUGGUCUGAGAGGAUGAUCAGCCACACUGGAACUGAGACACGGUCCAGACUCCUAUGGGAGGCAGCAGUGGGGAAUAUUGGACAAAGGGCGCAAGCCUGAUCCAGCCAUACCGCGUGGGUGAAGAAGGCCUUCGGGUUGUAAAGCCCUUUUGUUGGGAAAGAAAAGCAGCAGGUUAAUACCCCGCUGUUCUGACGGUACCCAAAGAAUAAGCACCGGCUAACUUCGUG
rnacentral:rRNA from 1 species